UAUAUGAGUUUCCAAAUCCUAUACAAAAUUGCCUAGCUAGCUAAUGUGAUAAAAUCCAUAUUUGUACUAAUAAAAUCAGUGAAAUCUUCUUAACUUUCUAAAUCAUACAAGAGAAUUUCAAUAUUAUAAAUAAUAAAAAUGCAUAAGUUUCUUUUCUACGAACCUGCUAAUUAACACGAUUACCAUAACUUUCUUUCUAAUCUUCCAUCCUCGUAAUUUUAUAACCUUGCUUAGGUAAUGUAAAGUAUCAUUAAAUAAUAAAAUAUCACACAUUAAAUAUUGACUAUAUUGGUCAAAUCAGUCCACCUCACACAUAACACAACUUUUAUAAAUUCCAUUUACAGGCCGGCCAUUAGCAUUC
rnacentral:lncRNA from 1 species